UGUUACAAGUGUCGAUACGGGACGUAGCCGGUAAAAAGACCGGAGGAAGGUGAGGAUGAUGUCAAGUCAGCAUGACCUUUAUAUCCAGGGCUACACACACGCUACAAUGGUCUGUACAACUUGGUUGCCAAGCCGCGAGGCGGAGCCAAUCCGUAAAGCAGGCCUCAGUUCAGAUUGCAGUCUGCAACUCGACUGCAUGAAGCCGGAGUUGCUAGUAACCGCAGGUCAGCAAUACUGCGGUGAAUACGUUCCCGGGUCUU
rnacentral:rRNA from 1 species